GACGAACGCUGGCGGCGUGCCUAAUACAUGCAAGUAGAACGCUGAAGGAGGAGCUUGCUCUUCUGGAUGAGUUGCGAACGGGUGAGUAACGCGUAGGUAACCUGCCUGGUAGCGUGGGAUAACUAUUGGAAACGAUAGCUAAUACCGCAUAACAGUAGAUGUUGCAUGACAUUUGCUUAAAAGGUGCAAUUGCACCACUACCAGAUGGACCUGCGUUGUAUUAGCUAGUUGGUGGGGUAACGGCUCACCAAGGCGACGAUACAUAGCCGACCUGAGAGGGUGAUCGGCCACACUGGGACUGAGACACGGCCCAGACUCCUACGGGAGGCAGCAGUAGGGAAUCUUCGGCAAUGGACGGAAGUCUGACCGAGCAACGCCGCGUGAGUGAAGAAGGUUUUCGGAUCGUAAAGCUCUGUUGUAAGAGAAGAACGAGUGUGAGAGUGGAAAGUUCACACUGUGACGGUAUCUGACCAGAAAGGGACGGCUAACUACGUG
rnacentral:rRNA from 1 species